CAGGAAAUAGUUUAUAAAAUAUUAAUUUUGGAGAUUAAAGAUAAGAAAUUUUUCUUUUUCCUGA
rnacentral:tRNA from 1 species